AGUGAACGCUGGCGGUAGGCCUAACACAUGCAAGUCGAACGGCAGCACAGUAAGAGCUUGCUCUUACGGGUGGCGAGUGGCGGACGGGUGAGGAAUACAUCGGAAUCUACUUUUUCGUGGGGGCUAACGUAGGGAGACUUACGCUAAUACCGCAUACGACCUACGGGUGAAAGCAGGGGAUCUUCGGACCUUGCGCGAUUGAAUGAGCCGAUGUCGGAUUAGCUAGUUGGCGGGGUAAAGGCCCACCAAGGCGACGAUCCGUAACUGGUCUGAGAGGAUGAACAGCCACACUGGAACUGAGACACGGUCCAGACUCCUACGGGAGGCAGCAGUGGGGAAUAUUGGACAAUGGGCGCAAGCCUGAUCCAGCCAUACCGCGUGGGUGAAGAAGGACUUAGGGUUGUAAAGCCCUUUUGUUGGGAAAGAAAAGCAGCAGGUUAAUACCCCGCUGUUCUGACGGUACCGAAAGAAUAAGCACCGGCUAACUUCGUG
rnacentral:rRNA from 1 species